rnacentral:rRNA from 1 species
UACGAAGGGGGCUAGCGUUGCUCGGAAUCACUGGGUGUAAAGGGUGCGUAGGCGGGUCUUUAAGUCAGGGGUGAAAUCCUGGAGCUCAACUCCAGAACUGCCUUUGAUACUGAGGAUCUUGAGUUCGGGAGAGGUGAGUGGAACUGCGAGUGUAGAGGUGAAAUUCGUAGAUAUUCGCAAGAACACCAGUGGCGAAGGCGGCUCACUGGCCCGAUACUGACGCUGAGGCACGAAAGCGUGGGGAGCAAACAGG